UACGAAGGGUGCAAGCGUUACUCGGAAUCACUGGGCGUAAAGCGUGCGUAGGCGGUUUCUUAAGUCUGUCGUGAAAGCCCUGGGCUCAACCUGGGAACGGCGAUGGAUACUGGGAAGCUAGAAUGUGAGAGAGGAUGGUGGAAUUCCCGGUGUAGCGGUGAAAUGCGUAGAGAUCGGGAGGAACACCAGUGGCGAAGGCGGCCAUCUGGCACAACAUUGACGCUGAGGCACGAAAGCGUGGGGAGCAAACAGG
rnacentral:rRNA from 1 species